rnacentral:lncRNA from 1 species
CGCUCCACUUCAUCGCGUUCUGCUUCAUCUCCUCGGCCUUGGGCCCCGAGGUUGCCUCGCGGAGGCACUGCUCGACCACGUCCCGCGUGAUCAGCUUGUUCUCUGCCUCGCCCCGGCACAUCCUCACCCCGACCUUGAACACGUCGACUAGGUACUUGGCGUCGGUGACCUGGUCACCCCACUGCGGGAACGCCACCACAGGCAUGCCAGAGGUCAAGGCCUCCAUGGUCGAGUUCCAACCGCAGUGCGUGACGAAGCAGGCCACCGAGGGGUGAGCCAGGACUUGCUCUUGCGGGCUCCACUGCACCACCUUGCCCCUAUCACCAGCCUUCUCCAAGAACCCUUCAGGCAUUUUGAGAACCUCAUAGCCAGAGUCCUUGUGUGGAGGCUUCAUGACCCACAAGAAGUUGACCCCGGAGUUCAACAGCCCAUAAGCAAUCUCAUCCCACUGGUCUUGCUUCAAGUACACGACGCUCCCAAACGACACGUAAACGAUCGAGGAAGCAGGCUUUGAGUCGAGCCAGCCGACGCAGUCGUCAGCCUUCAUGAAAUCGCCCUUGACAGUGGCGUUCGGGGCCUUAGGGUUCUUGAAGAGCGGCCCGACUGUCUUGAUGGGGCUGAUCUUGGACAUGUACUCAAUGAUCUCAUGCUCGAGCUCCUGGAACGUGUCCAUCAGGAUGCAGAAUGGCUUGUCCAAGUUCUUGUACUGCCCCAUGAUCGCCCGCCGGAGGAAAGGGUACGGGGUCGUUGGGUACAAGAAGCUCGGGACCUCGUCGUGCUUUAGGAGCGGCAUGCAAGGGAGUUGCACAUCGAUCUCCAUCGCUGUCUCAGACGGGAAGGGGACCAGGCCAUGGUAGUAGUAGUAGUACGAAGUGAAGCAUGCACAGGAUUGCACCCAGAGCAUCGCUGAGGGGAGGCCGAGGCUAUCGGCGACAUCGGAGACCCAGGGGAUGAAAGGAUUGUUGAUGAGGCAAGAGAUAGGGCGGCCUUGCUCAGCGUUGCGCCGGAUCAUCUCAGGGAUGAGGACCUUCCCGACCUUCUCGAGCUGGGGGAGGUACUGGUCGAGGUCCUGGCGGCGUAUCUCGUCCUCGUCCCACCCGUCCUCGAAGAACUCAAACCGGAUGAAGCCAUCACCGACCGGGGAGAGCUCCUCACCGAUGUUGCUUGCCUUGCGCAUCGCCUUCCCGAUGCUCUCUGGGGUUGUGAAGGUGACAAGCAGGCCCUUGGAGGCGAGGCGCUUGCCAAGCCUCAGGAGCGGGUUGACGUGGCCCUGGCCGGGGAACGAGACCAAGAGGACGUGGACGAGCGCCUCCGACCCCAUAUCGUUUCUGAGCUCGGGAAGAGAGAAGUGAAACGAUGUAGUAUAGGUUUAUGUGUGUAUGUGUGAGCGAGAGAGGGAGGGAGGGAGGGAGAGAGAGAGUUUGAAGUUGGUGGUGAUGAGAGUGUGUUAGAGUAGCUGAAAUAUAUAGCAGUGGAGGAGAGGAGAGGCGAGAUUAGAUGUUCGAUUCAUCGGUCGUUCGCGUGGGGUUUGACCUCGAAGGGGACCGUUUGGUGGGGUAAGUUACGCAAGUUCGAUGCUCGUCGGUCGUGUUGAUCCGCGCGAGGGCAUGCUGUCCUUAGGCUUUCUUGGAGGGUUUGGUUGAGAAAGGCCUAGUCGAGCUUCGGGUUUGACCAGACCGUCUGAGGAAUUGAACUGUUGCCAGGAAGAAGGAUAGCCGCAGAGGAAUGCAUGGCCUUGGCGCACGUCUUGUCGCUUAAUUAAUGACGUCAUGCGUGACAAUUCAUAAACCUGUGGUCGCUUUCGUUUUCUGAAUAAUUACCUAAAUCUAAACGUUGUCACAAGUUCAAUGGUGCACUUUGGAGGUACAGUUGGGUAUGUAAAAGUGCGACUAACUUUGAUAUCGAGUUGAGAAAUAAGAAAUAAAUGCAAAAGUGAGCAAUUGUGUAUAUUUUGAUGUAUUAUAACAAUGAUUUCAUUAGCCUAUUUAUAGACUUUAUGAAAUAACUAAAUAAGAUAAUAAAUCAAUCAAGAUAUGUACAAUCAAAUAAAAAUAUUUCGCAUAAUGUUGAGAAAAUCAUCAAAAUUAUCCUAAAUAUCUCCAAAAGUAACUUUGACCUCACAUUUUCGUUUCAGCAUUUUUUUUCAAAAUAUAAUUUAGGUAUAAAUGAAUUUAUUUUCUUCCAUUUUCCCUCACUUAUAUUUCUGUAUUUCUGCUUUGCCCUCCCUUUACUGUCUAUCGUCUCUCUUUAAGCCAAAAGCAGCCGCCAUUGCUCCACAUCCUGGUCGACCCGAGCCCAGAGUCAAUCCGAGGCUUCCACGGAUGGGUCCACAACACGUGUCUUCAGACGGCCGGCAUUAAAACACUUGGAUCGAACGGCUAAAAAGAGGCGGCAAAAUUGUCCGUGCACAAAAAUAUAUCGCUAAACGACCUUGAGAUUUUUCGUCUUCCACCAGAAGCAGAAAACCAAAGCGGUGACAAUUUGCGUGCAUGUUUCAAUUUUAUUAGCUGAAUUCCUUCAAUUGGAUAAAUUGUUUUAUAAUUUACUAACUUUCAUAAUUUACAUAAUAUCUCGUAUAAUCCUAUGAAUUAUGCAAAAUUAUCUUGUCAAAUAGUAUAUUUAGCUCAUCGAUAGUCAAUACUUGUUUAAUAGCCAGGUCUAUAUUUUCCCAUAUCUUUCUUGUAUACACUAAUAGAGGAACUAAUAUACAAAGUUUUCAUGAUUGAUUGACGUGUAAAAUGACAAUUUUCACCAAAAUGUAAUCUAGACAAUGUUGUUUUCAAUUGGUUCCGAUCAUCUCUUGGCACUGCCUACGCAAAAUAGCCUACUCCCUCUUUGCAAGCUAGUCUAACCAGGUUACACCCUUUUUAUAAAUUUGUUCAUAUCUUUGUAAUUGAAAUAAUUUUUAUGAUUUUGAGAUUCCAUAACAAUUGUUGUCAUAAAGAUAUCUUCUUUCCUUUCGAAAUCAAAACCAUAUGAUAGACCCUACGGAAUGUUAUAAAUGCUAUUUAAUGUUGCACCAUGCAAUUUAAAGCUGACACCUAACCAUGAAGGGAAUUCAGACCGCCCAAAUUUAUUUUUAUUUUCCAAUUCUUUCCUCUUUUUUUCUAUUUUUCUCCUUCUUCAGUUCUGUGUUCUGAGCUUAUCCACCCCGCAAACAAGUCACGACGAUUCCUUCCACCGCACAACGUGAAUCAGCCUCUGCGCCACCGCCAUUGACGAGUGAUCCCUGCCCCCGCCGCCCACGGUGUCGCCAUUGUGGCUCGUACCGCCGCAACUGCUAAUGCUGCUAGCGAAAUAUUCAAGCUCGAUUCGACUUUAUCAAUUUAUACAGGCGCGAUCUUAAAAAUGCUUAGACAAAGUGAGUGUAUUGUGUAAUUUUGAGAACAUAUAUGUUUAUGUUAAUUGACAAAUAUUUUUUGAAAAGAAUAGUAGAGGUUCGAUUAGAUUCGCGAACCUUAUCCAGCUGAAUUUUCAAGCUUGAACUUGAGCUUGACUCGACAAGAUACUCGAGAAGCUCUAGCUGGAGCAUAAAUUAACGAGCCAUUCUCAAGUAAUCAUCAAUCAAGGCUAAGCUACUCAUGACUAGCCUGACUUAUUUUUGUGAGUGCUAGUAUGAACAAAAUAAAGGAGUUAGGGAAGAGAAUAAGAACACAUAAAUUAUAGUGGUUCGGCUUAAUCCAAGCCUACGUUCACUCUCCCACGCUAACAGCCUUCUUGGCUGGAUUCCACUAUGCAAUCAACAAGAGAUUACAACUUUGAGUGCAAACACUUAGUAGAUCACACUAUCUCACUAAGUCACUCUUUUGGUAUUUCUCUCAUGAUUACAAACAUUUAAGCUCUCAAGAGACAAGUAUAUGAUCGAAAGUCGCUCAGACUUUGGAAUUAUAAAUUCUACGCUCCGUCUCUUACUUGCUCACCGGUCCUUCAUCUCCUUAAAUACUCAUCCACUUCCAAACUAGCCGUUAGACAGCAUCCCGGAGAAUCGUCUUCCAAUAUACCCAUUGGACAGCUCUGUAUCUAGAAGAUUUGGUAGCCGUUGAGUGACAAAGGUAUAAUCCCAAAUUGAUUCCGAUCGCCCAUACAAACGGAAUCUUGGUUUCCAUAAGUAAAGCUUCUUCGUAUAGAAAGUUCUUGUCUUCAAGAUCCAAUCAUCAAUCAAAUAGAUUGAAUCAAUCAAAUCAAUCUUGAUGUGGAAUCCAAACCAUAUCACUAGCCAUUAUAUGAUUGGGCUUGAAUUACGUUCUGUCGAAUCUGGAUGUAAAGUCUGAUAGCCAUAGACUUUACAAUCUGAGUCUGUAGACUUUACAAUUUGGGUCUAAACAUAUCUGCUUCUGAACAGAUUUAGCUUUAAGGUCUGUACCCAGUUCAGCUUCAGCAUAGAGUCUAUCUUCUGGUUCAGUUUCAGCAUAGAGUCUGUCUUCUGGUUCAUCAUUCACGUUCAGUCUGGAAUUUGUCAGAGUGAGCAGACUUCUGAUGUAAAACAGACUUUGAUACUAAAGUCUGGCAGUCUUCAGACUUUGACACGGCAGUCUUCAGACUUUGACACAGAAGUCUGGAAAUCUUCAGAAUAUACUUUGGACAUAUGUUACGUUAAGUCUUCUGGCCGUCUUCUGACUUUGAUAAUAUCAUCUACAUGUUCUAACAUCUGCAUGGUCUAAAACAUUAACGAGCCAUUCUCAAGUAAUCAUCAAUCAAGCCUAAGCUACUCAUGAGUAGCCUGACUUAUUUUUACCUUUAGUCAUGAGUGACAUCAUGGCACAUUAAGUAUAACUUGUUUUCUCAUGACAACUAUACAUGCUGCAAUCACUUCUUAAUUUAGAAGACCUCUAUUCUUUGAAAUAAAUUUUAAAAAAAUUAAUAAUAAUUUCUAACCUUUUAUUUUUUUACAAGAACCAAAAAGAACUAUUCGUGCACUUAAAUGGUGACUUUUAAUUUAAUAGUUUUAUUAGCAUUUUAUAGUCAAAGCAUGCACAUAGAGAUCCGAUUAUCUGUAUAUUUAUAAUAGAAAAAAAGCUUAUAAGCGUACAAACAGGUUAAGCUGGGGGUUUUAACUUCUACAGCCGGCUAUGAUUCAAAAUAGCUUAUAUAUAAUUGAUAGAAUUUAGAAAGACGGUAUUCAAUUCCCGAACUAAAACAUUUAUCGAUAUCCCAAUCAACUAUAUGUUGAUACUAGAGGGUUAAUAGUUUUCUUUAUGGUUUAGCGUAGCUUUAAUAUACAAGUCAUUUUAGAUGCACAAUUUUUAAUCCCAAUUUGGAUUUUCCAAAUAAACAAGGCGUAAUACGAUUUCUUUAUAAGAAUGAUACAAACGGUAGACUCCAGAACAAGAGAAGUAAAAAAGGAAGAUUGGAUUGCUGCAUCAUCCAUCUAGAAGACCGAGACAUCAAAGCUCUGACAGACGGAUGCGGGCAGAUGAGUCGCUUACCGUUUGGUGGGUCUUCGCAUUAUUUAAGACGAAAGUGACAAAACUUUAAAGCGUGGAAUAUGCCAUCCAUACAUAUACAAAAAUGGAAAAAAGAAAUAUAGGAUCCCGUGCACCGCAAAACCCAUCUUUCUGUCGAUCUCUUUUUUCAUUUUAUUUUAAUUGUUUUUGGUUAAACUUUCCCAUCACUCAAUGCCAUCGAGGACCGCACGAAUUUCUUAAAUGCUUUGGCAUUACCGUUUUCGAUCCGGUAAAAUAACUCCUCUAAAAUUACGGUAUCGCUCCCAAAAUGGACAGUAUGGUCAUCAUGAUUUUUUAAUGGUACUUAUUUGGUACCAUUAUUUUUCGAUAGUUUACCUAAGUUCCGAAACAUUCAAUGUGACGAUAAAAUCUAUGUCACUUUUGGUUGAACGUAUUUUAAAAAUUGAGCACUUGACCUAUAGAAAAAUUAUAGCACCACAAGUUUUUUUUUCCCAAAUUAAUGAUAAUUAAAGGAUUUAUUAAAAAAUCACAACAUCCAAGUGAGCGCUGCGAAAAAGUCAUGAUAAUUGAGGUAUAUUUUUCCCUAAGAUUGCAUGUGGAAAAAGGAUAUUCUCCUACGUUUUUGUGAUUGGUGUGUCAAAUUACAAUGCCAUUACGUAACAGUCCAUCAUUUUCAUCAAUGACGUGAUGGCACCCCCAAUAAAAAAAACGCAAAUAAAUUCCAUCUAAUUUUAGGAGACAGCUAUGGGAAACUAUAUUUCCAAAGAGAUACAUCGAUGACAAAGGGCAUCAGAGUCUAACCAACAUGUAAUGUAUUUUAAUUGUGUGCAUCUAACCGAGUUGGAACUUUAGAUUCUCAAGGGAACAUGUUUUGGAGAGCGACAAGGCAUGAUGAUCCCGUCCUCGGCACCAGCUAAUUUUCCGAUGAUUUGACCAAGCACGACAUUCAUACUGCGCAGUCAACAGCUUUUAAAGUUUGACUCUUCUUUAUGCCUGAUCGACUGCGAGAUGAGGAGCGGAUUAUCAAAACGAGAGGCGAUGUGGAAUGGGAGGCAACCGCCUUUCAACGAACUGAUUUUCCAUAGGUGGAUGUUUCGGUUUGGAACAUCUGUCUGGCAUCGGUUGCUGACUCUCAUACGGCUUGUAGCCUUUUUUGGGCUGUGGUCCUCCAUCAUAAACGUUAAAUUUACGUACUAAGUUUAGUUAUUUAUAAGGUAUUGAGACAUUAGUAGUGAUAUAAGAAACCCUAAUUGAAUCGCCUUGCCAAAAAACUUUGAUCCUAACUUAGUAUCCUUACCAUCUAUGAAAGAUUACACAUACCCAGCAGCAUCUCUCUCCGUGUCUCUCUCGCUCCCCUUGACCUCGCGUCCCGCCUUUGAUGAAUUUAAUGGCUAUUUGCUACUGAUGAAAUAAUUAAAUAUUAAACCGUGCAUUCAUCUAAAAGUUUAAGUUUUUAGAACAGUUAGCGGUAGUCUAAAAAAUUCUUUUAUGUUAUUAGAGCUAGAACUCCUGAGUUUGAAUUUUUUUUAGAUCUUAUUUACCUCCCUAAUUAAAUAUGUCCAUACUUAAUACUAGGAAAAAAAAAUCAAACUAAGCGUGAGAAGGAGUGAUAGAAUAAUUAAAUAUUAAACCAUGCAUUUUUUUAAGAGUUUAAGCUUUUAGAACAGUUAGCAAUAAUUUUACGAAUUCUCACAGCUAUAGUCAACAACAAUACCAUAGCAUAGAGAGAGAGAGAGAGUAUAUGAUGCAGCUACACUUGAUGUUCCACUAAAAGAGUGAACCGUUUAGUUGAUGCCUCAAAUAUUCUCCUAGGUCCAAAGGUUUGAAUAAGAAAUCGAUUGAACUCCGAGUGCAAUCCAAAUUAACUUAAGAUAUAUAUCAUCUAAGGCAUGACUUAUCGACCAAAAAUAUUACAUGGUUAAGAGUUUGAUCAAAGGGCACACUAAGGUCAUUCUCAUGAAGACGUUUCCAACCAUACCCAAUUUGUCCAAAUCGGACGACCGGAUAUUAUCUCAUCUUUAUCUACAUAAAAUAAUUAUCAUAAAAGUGAAAACGUAAUGGAAAAUAUUUGUUCAUGAAACGUGUAUAAUUUGUGAACCUAGUAUAUACAAAAGGCCUAUUUUCUUAGAAUUCAUUUGUUUUGGAGAAAAUGGAAUCAUCUUCCUAAAAAUAAUUUAUUAUAUAAAAAUAUUUCCUAAAAAUAAUCCCUUAUAUUACUUCAAAUAAACAAUAAACGAAAAAUGUUCAUUGUUGAUAGCAAUUUAUAUUUAACCGUUUUUGUAGAUGAUGCAAAUAUUUUUCGUUCAUUCAUUUUUACAAGUUACAUAAAUGAUUGUUUUUAGGAAAAUAUUUUCCAAAUCAUUCAUUUUUCCGAAAAUAAACAAUGUCUUAGUUUUGUCAAAUUAUUAUUAUGACGGACAUCAGAGAGAGAGAGAGAGAGAGAGAGAGAGCAAUGGAUCAUUUGGCAUCAAUCAAGCAUAUGAUAUGUAUAUCAAGCACUUUCAAUAGGGUCUGGACUCUCACAACCAAUCCAUGCAUCUCACAGAUUGGUACAAUUGAUCAUACAGCUAGCACCUUUCCGCUUUCGGAGAGAGAGAAGGCAUGGUUCCUUCAAUCUACACCCCAAAACGAGACACACCUGAAUUUCUCAUCUCCACCUCACGACACCACCUUUAACUCCCCGUUGACCUUUGGCUCGCCCAGCUCCGCAACCCCAUUGGCCGCCACUUUGUUGGCCAAGUCCGCCCCUCCGUUGGCCGUUGACUUGCCACUCGCAGCCAGCACCUCCAGGCUCCUCCUCUUCACCUCGUCCACGAAGGCCUGGAUGUUCCGGUCUGAGGAGCCACCCUCCGCCACGGCUGCCUCCGCUGCUGCGCUCCACUUCUUCGAGUUCUGCUUCAUCUCCUCGGCCUUGGGCCCCGAGGUUGCCUCGCGGAGGCACUGCUCGACCACGUCCCUCGUGAUCAGCUUGUUCUCUGCCUCGCCCCGGCACAUCCUCACCCCGACCUUGAACACGUCCACUAGGUACUUGGCGUCGGUGACCUGGUCACCCCACUGCGGGAACGCCACCACAGGCAUGCCAGAGGUCAAGGCCUCCAUGGUCGAGUUCCAACCGCAGUGCGUGACGAAGCAGGCCACCGAGGGGUGAGCCAGGACUUGCUCUUGCGGGCUCCA